CCGCGCAGUCUAAUGAUGUCGGGAGCCGGAAUAUGACAUCAUUCCGGCCCCAGAAUCAUUACAGAGCGCGUGGGAGCAUAGAGGAGCUACAAACAGAGUAGUGCUCCCUCGCACACAGGAAGAGUGCAGCCCCUCUGGACCCCAGGAAAUACCCACUCAGCUAUCCCAAAGAUAGGGAGGCUGAGUCGGUUUUUAAUUAAAACAAAAAUGUGUGUGUGUGUAUAAGCCUGUGUGAGUCUGUCAAGAGUGUGUGUGUGUUUGUGAGAGAGUCUGUCAGAGUGUGUGUGAGACUGUGUGUGUGUAAGCCUGUCAGUGUGUGUGUGAGCAUGUCAGAGUGUGUGUGUGUGUGUGAGCCUGUCAGUGUGUGUGCGUCAGCCUGUCAGUGUGUGUGUGUGUGCGCCGGUCAGAGUGUGUAUGUGUUUGUGAGAGAGUCUGUCAGAGUGUGUGUGAGACUGUGUGUGUGUGUCAGCCUGUCAGUGUGUGUGUGAGCCUGUCAGUGUGUGAGCCUGUCAGAGUGUGUGUGAGCCUGUCAGAGUGUGUGUGUGUGAGACUGUCAGUGUGUGUGUGUGUGAGACUGUCAGUGUGUGUGUCAGCCUGUCAGAGUGUGUGUGUGUUUGUGAGAGAGUCUGUCAGAGUGUGUGUGAGACUGUGUGUGUGUGUGUCAGCCUGUCAGUGUGUGUGUGUGUGAGCCUGUCAGAGUGUGUGUGUGUGUGUGAGCCUGUCAGAGUGUCUGUAUGUGUGUGUGUGUGUGUGUGAGAGCGAGAGCCUGUCAAGAGAGUGUGAGUGAGCGCCUGUCAGAGUUUGUGUGUGCGAGUCUGUCAGUGUCUGCGUGCAAGUCUGUUGUCAGUGUAAGAGUGUGUGAGAGCCUGUCAAAACGUGUGCAUGCAAGCCUGUUGUCAGCAUGAGUGUGUGAGAGCCUGUCAAGAGUUUGUGUGUCAGCCUGUCAGUGUGUGUGUGUGAGCCUGUCAGUGUGUGUGUGUGUUUGUGAGAGAGUCUGUCAGAGUGUGUGUGAGACUGUGUGUGUGUGUCAGCGUGUGUGUGUGUCAGUCUGUCAGUGUGUGUGUGUGUGUCAGCCUGUCAGUGUGUGUGUGAGCCUGUCAGAGUGUGUGUGUG